UUAAAACGUUAAAACAGACAUUUUACCUCGCCAAUAGGGUUCAGGAGACAACAAGAACGACAAUAAAGGCAGAGAAACGAACACUUGUUUCUUAAGAGACAUUCAUAAUUUGCACCAACACUUAACUAUCCAACGUGAAAAUAUCGCUCACUCAUCAUGAAUCCUUUUUCCAACGUUUUUCUUCGUCGAUCUAUUUUCAUGCCUUUCUUAUGCAUAUUUGUCAUCUUUGCAAUGGAUUUAUUCCUCGCUAAUGCUAUUAGUUUUACAUUUUACUCGUACAUCUUUACGUUUUAUGAUAUUUUACCCCAUUUUUGUCUUGAGAAUCAUUUGAUCUUUGAGCAUUUAUAGCAACCUUACCCUAGAAUAAUUUGGCGGCAGAUCCUUGAAAGAAAGACCAGAUAUCUUUCUGGCCAGAUUGGAGAUCCGCGAAGACAACACGUUGGGUCCAGUGGCGCCCUGAAAAUAAGCAAAGUGAAAGAGUGAAAAAACCGUCAGUCAUUUCAACACGUUGAAUCUCAUGAUUUUUGGGGUGGAACCAAGAUGUGGUUUAGUAUGCUACUUUUAUUCCAUGGGUGUCAUUUUUUAUGAUGAUGCUGUAAAGGGAGUGUACUACGAACGGAGGAGAUCGCUAAAUAAGGGUUUAUGACAUUUUGUUUCUCGUCUUUUCAUGACACAAUUCACAGACGGACGUCCAGUUGUCUUAGGAUUUUGACACUUGUGAAUUUGAGAGGUCGCUAACAAAUCCCAUCCAAUAUUUUGUCCUUGGCCUUCACUUGUCGAGAAAAUGGUCUACCAAGAAUAGAUGGAUUGAUCUUUUCAGUGGACUCUCAUUCAUUUCACAUCUGUGGUUUGGCUUAGGGUCUCGUAUAUCUGUGUGUAACCAAAGAAGGGUCUUAAAACACGUUUUAGGAGCUCUUAUGAAUAUAUUGGAUCUCCAAAGAAUGUUAUCCUCUCCCCAAUCUCGAUUCACUGUAAAUAUUUCAUUCCACCCUCCUCCCACGUGGUCCUUGCGAUUCAAAUUCAAUUCCAUUACCAACCAAAUAACGGAUUUGUCAACCACAUCCCGCCCAACGGACGUGGUCCUAAUUGUGUUCCACUUUCUCGCCGGAUCAUCCCACAUUUCAAUUCUAAGAGUGCUCUCCAGUGAGAUCUCGAGAAAAGGAUAUUAUUUUCUUUAUGACCUUUUCCAGCGAAUCACCAUCAAGCGCGUACCCAAACCCCACAAUAUAAUGCUGAAGGUACCGUGCCUUCAGGUCUCAAGGGAGGGCGAGCGGGAGUAAAAUAUUGGGCUCUAAAGCAUCGCUUAUUACUAUCAUUAUGAGUCCCCUCAAAAGCGAAUCCGAACAACAUGUUUGUCCGAGAUUCCCGCCGUAUCAAGGACGAGUAAAUAUCAUUCAUUCAUUGUACAUUAUUGUUGUGAGGUUUUUCAUGGGACAUGAGGAAGAAGAGCCAAGCAUUGUCAACGCAUUCCAUGCCAUUUGUUGUCGAACUUACCGUUUGAAUGAUGCGCCUUUUAAAACAGCAUGCCCAACAAAGAGCAAUCGAGACUAAUAUGGCCAAAAGCGAGAGCUGCACCACAACGAGAUCUACGGGAGAGAUAGAAAAAAGUUAAUUGUUUUUCAGACAGGACAUAUGAUUGAAGGAGUACCAAAAUUCUUGUCAACAGCCUUCAUAAUCUUGUUGAUUUUUGACUUACCCAUGGACGAAGUGAAGUAUUUGCCAUGAUGAUGAUACUUGGUCAUGUUCCGAUCUCUCUCCUGAAGAAUCUUCAGGAGCAGAUCCAAUCGGACAGUGUCAUUUUGAUAAAAGUCCGAAAAGUUCAUCCCAUCGAGUGUGUCUUUAUUCACCAACGGGACAGAAGUCACAUAUUCCGGGCUCAAUGGGUCACCCUGAGGGCUGAGACCCAAUUCGGGGUCCCAU